CUGGAGAUGACCACUUGCAGCCUUCCAGUUAUCUUUUCUCCAUUGCUAAACUAGGUUGGAGAAAACAUCAUUUGGUAUAUGGAGGAUGAUUUUCUUUGUCCAUCAAGUUAUCAUUUGUGGUGACCCGAAAUAAGAAAAUUAAUCAGCAACUUGAGGAUUGCUCAAGACAGGUAUUUUAUACCCACACACCAAAGAUAACCUUUUUGAGGUUUGAACAGAUG
rnacentral:lncRNA from 1 species